rnacentral:rRNA from 1 species
UGCCAGACUCCUACGGGAGGCAGCAGUGGGGAAUAUUGCACAAUGGGGGGAACCCUGAUGCAGCGACGCCGCGUGGGCGAGGAAGUAUUUCGGUAUGUAAAGCCCUAUCAGCAGGGGAGAAGAAAUGACGGUACCUGAAUAAGAAGCACCGGCUAAAUACGUGCCAGCAGCCGCGGUAAUACGUAUGGUGCAAGCGUUAUCCGGAUUCACUGGGUGUAAAGGGAGCGUAGACGGCCAUGCAAGCCAGGGGUGAAAGCCCGGGGCCCAACCCCGGGACUGCCCUUGGAACUGUGCGGCUAGAGUGCGGGUGGGGCAGGCGGAAUUCCUGGUGUAGCGGUGAAAUGCGUAGAUAUCAGGAGGAACACCGGCGGCGAAGGCGGCCUGCUGGACUGCGACUGACGUUGAGGCUCGAAAGCGUGGGGAGCGAACAGGAUUAGAUACCCGAGUA